UACGAAGGGGGCUAGCGUUGCUCGGAAUCACUGGGCGUAAAGCGCACGUAGGCGGCUUUCUAAGUCAGGGGUGAAAUCCUGGAGCUCAACUCCAGAACUGCAUUUGAUACUGGAGAGCUCGAGUCCGGAAGAGGUGAGUGGAACUCCGAGUGUAGAGGUGAAAUUCGUAGAUAUUCGGAAGAACACCAGUGGCGAAGGCGGCUCACUGGUCCGGUACUGACGCUGAGGUGCGAAAGCGUGGGGAGCAAACAGG
rnacentral:rRNA from 1 species